GGAUACAUGGCUGAGAGGUUGAAAGCGCUAGUCUUGAACACUAGUAUAUAAUAAAUUUAUAUCGUGGGUUCGAAUCCUACUGUAUUCG
rnacentral:tRNA from 1 species